rnacentral:sRNA from 1 species
CCUGCUGGGAGCCACCCAGGCAGCAGCCUGCUGGCUUCAGCUGUGGCGUGUUAGCCCUAGCUGCUCUGGGGAGGAUGGCAUAUGUGUGGGAAGAGAAUGAGGUGGAGCUGACUGAGCUGCGGGAAGGAAGGCACAAUGUAGCCAGCGACCUAUAAAAGGGACGGACAGGAGGACAGCUGUGCGGCCGGGAGACAGAGGCUUCUCCAGGCUGCUUUUCAAGACGUUGCCUCUGGACUCGAGCAACCAACAAAAGCCCAGACGCUGCUGAACCAAACACUAAUGUUCAUCUUCAGCUCUCUGAAGGAUGCUGGGGCAGCAGGAGAAUGGAGCGCGAGACCGUCUUUAUUCCCCGAGUCAGAGGUGAACACCAUGCACCAAACUCAUACGUGGCAACCUGGGGACCACCCAGCCCUGAAGAGCUGGCUUGCCACACUCUGGGAAGAUGGAGUAGUGUCUGGUGCUUAACGGAACACCAGAUGCUUUUGAUAGGCCAUCACAGCAAGAUCUGAGGAAGAGGAUCCCUUUUACAGUUCUCACAACCUGACCCCAGCAUCCCUGGGAAUGCCGACUGACAGCUGCAUGGAGUGUAGCCACAGCAGCCCUGUCGGGUGCCAGCUGGACGUGCCUGGCCGCCACCCGGGGAUGUCAGAGCAGAGCUGCAGGCCACCCUUCCGCCAGCAGGAAGCCCAGCCGCAAACACUUGGACAGGAAGCCUGUGUGCUGGCCAGCUGAGCCAGCUCUGGUUUCUCUUGUGUCUGAGGGUUUGGCCUCUGGGUAGAAGAAAGCGAGCCAGGUGCUGAGGACUGCUCUGACGGGGCCAUGGCCUCCCUCCACGCCCCCCCC